AAGAGCAGCAAUAGCAUAAUUAACCUGCAAUAGUGAUACCAGAUGUUAAUUCAUGCUUCUAAGUGAUAUAAAAGUUGUGAGUUUUUGGUCCCUAACAUCAAAGUUAGAUACAUCUUCAACAAAGCAACCUUAGAGGGAUGAUUCCAGUACCCUCCUUAAUUCCUGAAAGGUUAGCAAAGUUUUAGAAAAAAAAUCGUACAGCUUUUUUCUGAAGAAAAGUAGACAGAAAGAACUCUUACGUAACUCACGGCCAAUGACACUUUAACGAUGGCAUCAUAGGGGAGAAGAAAAGAAGUUUUGGGGGGGGCUGUGAGAGGCGAGUAAAGAGAAAAAAUGGAUAUUUGACAUCAUAAUCAUCAUUAGUUUAAUGUACAUUUUAGUUUGAACCAAGCCAUGGACAGCCUAGAACAUCAAAACUUAGCAUUUAGCAGAUAGUCACAACUGUACAUUAU
rnacentral:misc_RNA from 1 species